rnacentral:tRNA from 1 species
CGGGGAGUGGCGCAGCCUGGUAGCGCACCUGCUUUGGGAGCAGGGGGCCGCUGGUUCAAAUCCAGUCUCCCCGACCA